rnacentral:rRNA from 1 species
GACGAACGCUGGCGGCGUGCUUAACACAUGCAAGUCGAACGGAAAGGCCCUGCUUUUGUGGGGUGCUCGAGUGGCGAACGGGUGUGUAACACGUGUGUAACCUGCCCUUGACUUUGGGAUAACUUCAGGAAACUGGGGCUAAUACCGGAUAGGCGCUCCUGCUGCAUGGGGGGGGUUGGAAAGUUUCGGCGGUUGGGGAUGGACUCGCGGCUUAUCAGCUUGUUGGUGGGGUAGUGGCUUACCAAGGCGUUGACGGGUAGCCGGCCUGAGAGGGUGACCGGCCACAUUGGGACUGAGAUACGGCCCAGACUCCUACGGGAGGCAGCAGUGGGGAAUAUUGCACAAUGGGCGGAAGCCUGAUGCAGCAACGCCGCGUGCGGGAUGACGGCCUUCGGGUUGUAAACCGCUUUCGCCUGUGACGAAGCGUGAGUGACGGUAAUGGGUAAAGAAGCACCGGCUAACUACGUG